UCCAGAUGCUUGCAGAGUGAAUGGAAGUUUCUUGAGACAGCCACAUUUGUGCUGAAGAGCUUUCAGACAGAUUGAUUAUUUAGAGCUCUGUGAUUGUAGAGCUGGGAUGUUGCAAGCCCAGAGCCAAAUUAUCCUGGGACAUAUUUAGUCUGUUAACAGCCACCUCUGUGUCUGAGCUAACACUUUGAUGAUGAGAGACAACGAAGCCUUUGAAAGGUGUUUAGUGGACCUGGAGCCUUCACCAAUCCCUAAGUUAAGACUCAACAGUGAAUCGCUGAGCUCAGGAUCACACAAGGCGAUUCAGACAGACCACCAGCAUCUACUUCACUUAAAGAGCCAGUGGAGGCUGGGGAGAUGGCUCAGUGGAUCUUGCAGCUGGAGGGAGGCAGCUGGGAUUCUAACCACCGCCCCUGUGUGGCUCUGCUGGAUCAAUCCCGGGUUUGGUAGAUUGGAAGGGAGGGCAGGCCGGUGAGAUACAGAUCGACAGCUGCCUGGCCCUCUCAGCCUUUGCACUGUAGCUUCAAGAUGGCACCUGCCCCCAGGACCCCUGCCUGAACGAAGAGUCUUGGUGACAUGACUGGGAUCACACCUGGUGGGGACCUUGAAGAUCUUAGAAUUGGACUCUGACAUUACCGACAACUAUGUACUGCAGAGCAGCCUUGCAUCCUUGGUAACCUCAGUCCCUUGGGGCAGCCUGACUUGGGAAUGGUGCUGCUAUUGUUGACCUCGCUGGUCACUGACCCCGUUUGUGAUAGUCCUGGAUGCAGCGGGCACCAUUUGCUCUAGCCGAUUACUGGUACAGUCAAGCACUUUGACUCGCUUCUGACUCUUGGGGGGGCUCCUGGGGGAGGGUCUAGCCUGCCUAUGGGGUGCUGGUUUACCCUGCUUUCAUUUGGGAAUUCUCUUCCACCCCAAAACACUGGCUCCUUGUCAGUUUUCAAUCAUGGGACUGUGAACUCAACUUGUGGGUCUGCGGCAUGUCCCCAUAGGAAGCCCCAGGAAUGGGCCUUAGUGACACAAGCCUGUGACUGGACCUGCCUCAAGGACCCAGAACUGAGAGCACAUGUGUCUCAGGGGUCCCAGUCUGGGAGCCGCUUUCAAACCUUGUGGCACACUAUUUCCAGUAUGUUCCCAUUAAAAAACCAUGCUCCCCACAACAACAACAACAACACAACAACAGCAGCAGCAGCAAACCCAGAUGCCAUUCUCUGAUGGCCGAUUUGAAUUCUAGAAACAGCUGAGUCUGGGGAUCCAGGCUGGCGAUUCAUUUUGGAACACACAUGUGGUUUUUUAAGUGGGAAUCGAGGAAUGCUUUUAUGUCUGUCAAACUGGUCUUCCUAAGAGACUCCCAACCUGAUAUUCUAAAUCUAAUGCUGAUUCCCUCAAUAGAGGCAGCAUGCUGAUUUAAAGUGCAUCACUCAGAGAUGGCUCAGUGGGUAAAGGCCCCUGUGGCUAAGCCCGAUUCUCUAAGUGUGGUGGUUUGCAUAGGAACAGUACCCAGGGACUCAGGUAUUUGAAUGCUUGACCCAAAGGGAGUGGCACUAUUAGGAAGUGUGGUCUUGCUGGAGGGGGUGUGGCCUUAUUGCUCAAGCUCAGCUCCGUGUGGCUUUAGCAGUCUCCUUCUGCUGCCUGCAGAUGAAGAUGUAGAACUCCCAGCUCCUCCCCCAGCACCACGUCUGCC